rnacentral:rRNA from 1 species
UACGGAAGGAGCUAGCGUUGUUCGGAAUUACUGGGCGUAAAGCGCACGUAGGCGGCUUUGUAAGUUAGAGGUGAAAGCCCGGGGCUCAACCCCGGAAUUGCCUUUAAGACUGCAUCGCUUGAAUCCAGGAGAGGUGAGUGGAAUUCCGAGUGUAGAGGUGAAAUUCGUAGAUAUUCGGAAGAACACCAGUGGCGAAGGCGGCUCACUGGACUGGUAUUGACGCUGAGGUGCGAAAGCGUGGGGAGCAAACAGG